rnacentral:tRNA from 1 species
GGGGACGUGGCUCAGUGGUAGAGCAUCCGCUUCCCAUGCAGAAGACCCCAGCUUCAAGCCACGCCAUCUCCA